UGAACGCUAGCGGCAGGCCUAACACAUGCAAGUAGAACGGUAACAGAGAGAGCUUGCUCUCUGCUGACGAGUUGCGAACGGGUGCGUAACGCGUAUGCAACCUACCCAUAACUGGGGAAUAGCCCAUAGAAAUGUGGAUUAAUACCCCAUAAUAUCUUUAAUUGGCAUCGAUCAAAGAAGAAAACUCCGGUGGUAAAAGAUGGGCAUGCGUCCUAUUAGUUAGUUGGUAAGGUAAAGGCUUACCAAGACUUCGAUAGGUAGGGGUCCUGAGAGGGAGAUCCCCCACACUGGUACUGAGACACGGACCAGACUCCUACGGGAGGCAGCAGUGAGGAAUAUUGGACAAUGGAGGCAACUCUGAUCCAGCCAUGCCGCGUGCAGGAAGACUGCCCUAUGGGUUGUAAACUGCUUUUAUACAGGAAGAAUUGCAUCUACGUGUAGUUGCUUGACGGUACUGUACGAAUAAGGAUCGG
rnacentral:rRNA from 1 species